rnacentral:lncRNA from 1 species
UAUAAAGAGCUGGGUUCAUAGCACAACCAACUAGCUUGAAAUUUAAGAAGAAACAGCUGCUGGCAGAGAGACAAGCAUUUGCUUACCCAAGAUAGACAGUAGCAAAAGAAUUCAGCAAAAACUGUUAAUAAGUAGGUGAAGGCAAAGUGAUUACUAAUAAAAGAACAUACACCUGCUAAUGUGCAGAUAUAAAGGGAAUCCCCUGCCAGUGGGAACUCUUCCCUGUGGACUUCAUUAGACAAUCACAAAAACAUUUGGUGACAUAAGGGAGACAAAACAUCACCUCCAUUCUGUUAGAGUUUCUUCUAGGCCUAAGACAUAUGAUAGAUUAAUAGGAGAAAAGCAUACAUAUUUUAUUUUAUAAAUAGAGGUACCUACAUAAAGUAAAAGAAAGAAGACCCAAGGGAGAGCCAAAGGGUCAAUAUUUCUCUACUUCCUUGUUAACAGAGAGAUAAUUAUGAAUAUGGAACUAAAAUAUAUGGGAAGACUCAUGGAAUAUAAUAUUUAUUUUUAGUGUGUCUGCACACAGUCCUGUGUCUGCUUGGAAGUCGUAGAGAUAACAUUUCAAGGGCGAUACCUGUCGGUUUUGACUGGAUAUUCAUAUAAACUUUUUAAAGAGAUGAGUGAUAGAGCUAACCCUAUCUGUAAGUUUUGAAUUUAUAUUGUUUCAUCCCAUGUACAAAACUUUUUUUUCCUACAAAUAGUUGGGUUUUUUUUCCCGUUGAGGGCUUGUAAAGGAAAACAGAAUGUUUUAUCAUGAUUUUUGCUUCAGUGACUUUAGGACAAAUUAAAGGUCCUAAACUCUGAAAAAAAAAAAAACAAAACAAAGCAAAACUUAGUGCAUUUUACCUCACCCUGUGUCCAUGGUUCAGCCUGGCACACAGAACACACAUAUUCUUUGUGUCAGAUUUCAGGAAGUUACAUCUUUUGCAUCCCUAACAGUAGUGAGAUUAUAAAUAAAGAUAUUAGGAAUAAUAUUAAUGAUACUGUAGCAGAAUAUCGUAUCUGAGUUCACAACAUGUCAUUCUCAUUUUGAAGAUAACAAACUUAAACAUAGACAGUACUGUUGCUCAAGUUCACACAGUCAUUAUAAGAUUGAACCAAGAUUUCCAACCCAGUGUUUUAAUGGAAGAACCCACACUCUAGUGCACACAAUAACAUGAGAUAUAUUUACUUGCAGACACACUCAUUUCCAUUCAAGUUAUGUCUUAUAGUAUGAAGCAGAAAUGCAAAGUUGGCUCUGAAAGGAUGGAGUCCAUCUGGCUUUACAUAAACAUAAAGUAGCCACUGUCUUUACUUGGCAAUGCACCUACUCCUACCUCAGUAUCAACAGUUUAUUAUGAAUAGAAAGCAUAUUUUUUGGCUGACAGCUGUGCUCUAUUUCCAAUAACAAGCUGAUUUACAAAUAGGAGAGAACAUAUUCUUUUUCCCAAAAAUUCAGAGGCUUAUUCACUUGAUUCAUUUUCUUUUUAUUUGGCUGGAAAUUCCUGAUCUUCCUUCAGGUGCUAAAGCAACUUUGAUCCUCUCAGGGUUUCAUGCAGGUGCCAGAGUAGCAUUAUCGUAGAAA